GUUUAAACAAAGUUUCUUCUGAGAAGAGGGAUUCGAUGGAUGCAUUCAACGUGGACAACGAGAUUAUAAUUUCGUUUGUGUCAUCCUAAGGACCAGUGCAAGUUGAAAUGGGCUUCGAGUCAACAACUUCAACAGCAAUUUGCCUUGAAAAUCAGCAAGAAAGGUACUUCAUUUACAUUGAUGAUGUCAUAUCCCCUGGACCCCACAACUUUACAGGUUACAGAGAAAAUUCAAGAACUUCUGCACAAUGUGGGACUUGUAUAGAAUCAAUAAUGUU